rnacentral:rRNA from 1 species
UACGAAGGGUGCUAGCGUUGUUCGGAAUUACUGGGCGUAAAGCGCGCGUAGGCGGCUUUUCAAGUCAGGGGUGAAAUCCCACGGCUCAACCGUGGAAUUGCCUUUGAAACUGUGAAGCUAGAGUGUCGGAGGGGAUAGCGGAAUUGCUAAUGUAGAGGUGAAAUUCGUAGAUAUUAGCAGGAACAUCGGUGGCGAAGGCGGCUAUCUGGACGACAACUGACGCUGAGGCGCGAAAGCGUGGGGAUCAAACAGG